rnacentral:rRNA from 1 species
GGUUUCCUCAGCGAUGCUAAUCAGCUGAGGGUUAGUCGGGACCUAAGGCGAAUCCGAAGGGAGUAGUCGAUGGACAACUGGUUAAUAUUCCAGUACUUCUUAUAAUUGCGAUGGGGUGACGGAGUAGUGAUAGCACCGCGUACUGACGGAAUAGUACGUUAAACUGAAAAGCUAUUAAAUGAGUAGGCAAAUCCGCUCGUUUAGGUGAAUCAGGAUAGUACUACAAAGCUUCGGCGGCGUAGAUAGUGUGUGUAAUGACUUCCAAGAAAAACCUCUAAGCUUCAGAUUAUAAGAACCCGUACCCCAAACCGACACAGGUGGUUGGGAUGAGAAUUCUAAGGUGCUCGAGUGAUUCAUGGCUAAGGAACUAGGCAAAAUGGACCCGUAACUUCGGGAGAAGGGUCGCCCACAGCAAUGUGGGCCGCAGUGAAAAGAUCCAGGCGACUGUUUAUCAAAAACACAGGGCUUUGCAAAAUUGAAAGAUGACGUAUAAGGCCUGACACCUGCCCGGUGCUGGAAGGUUAAGUGGAGGGUUUAGCUUCGGCGAAGAUCUGAAAUGAAGCCCCAGUAAACGGCGGCCGUAACUAUAACGGUCCUAAGGUAGCGAAAUUCCUUGUCGGGUAAGUUCCGACCUGCACGAAUGGUGCAACGAUCUGGACACUGUCUCAGCCAUGAGCUCGGUGAAAUUGUAGUAUCGGUGAAGAUGCCGAUUACCCGCAG